UAUAAGUAAUGAACUACAAACAGACACCAUGAGCAAAGAUGGAGGCAGAGAUCUUACGGUAGAACUUUCUCCUGGGCGUCCUUGAAGAACUCACAAAUGAAUGGAGCAGAAAGAUUCAUUGAGAAGACCUUGUUGUGUGCAGCUGCAUGUUCAGCAACAAGUUGAAUGGACUCAGGAGAGACAGUAAGGAAAAAUCCAGCAAUAUAGAUAUAUUUUGCUUUCUCAACUAACGCCCAAUUUUCUGGUCUCUUCAAAUGCUCAGAUUUGUAACAAUUUGCAGCUGACAAAUUUGCGAUAAGUGAUCUCUCACCACCAACAACACAAACAGCACAUGUCCCAGUUGGGGCAGUCUCAUCCUCAUAAUAAUGAACAUUGACACCAGCUUGCUUUGAGUUUUUCUUCAUCUCCUCUCCAAACUUAUCCUUUCCAAUACUGCCCAUA
rnacentral:misc_RNA from 1 species